rnacentral:rRNA from 1 species
GACGAACGCUGGCGGCGUGCUUAACACAUGCAAGUCGAACGGAAAGGCCCUGCUUUUGUGGGGUGCUCGAGUGGCGAACGGGUGAGUAACACGUGAGUAACCUGCCCUUGACUUUGGGAUAACUUCAGGAAACUGGGGCUAAUACCGGAUAGGAGCUCCUGCUGCAUGGUGGGGGUUGGAAAGUUUCGGCGGUUGGGGAUGGACUCGCGGCUUAUCAGCUUGUUGGUGGGGUAGUGGCUUACCAAGGCUUUGACGGGUAGCCGGCCUGAGAGGGUGACCGGCCAAAUGGGGACUGAGUAACGGCCCAGACUCCUACGGGGGGCAGCAGGGGGGAAUAUUGCACAAUGGGCGGAAGCCUGAGGAAGCAACGCCGCGGGCGGGAUGACGGCCUUCGGGUUGUAAACCGCUUUCGCCUGGGACGAAGCGGGGGGGACGGUAAUGGGUAAAGAAGCACCGGCUAACUACGU